rnacentral:lncRNA from 1 species
UUUAACAUUAUCAUUGACGUUUAUUACAAUUGGAUAUAAAAUGGUGCAUAAUGGCACAGGAAACAGGUUCUAUUUUUUUUCGCCCGAUGCAACGCACGGGCAUGUGUACUAGUAAUCUCCAAACGAAAUAUCUGUCCAGGCUGCGACCAAAAAAGCUUUCUUUCAAUCGUGUUGUCUACAAACGGGAUGUACCGAAACAAAUCAGAACUACCAUAUCUCUUGGUUUCUUAUUAAAAAAAAGUCUCCAAAUGAAAUAUCUGUCCAGGCUGCGUCCAAAAAAAAUUCCUUUCAAUCGUGCAGAUGAGAGAAACUCACGCAUCCAUAUAAGACCUUCCCCACGACCUGAAAGGAUCAUUGUCCUCUAGAUUUUAGAGUACAACUUCUGCAUCAUCUUCCUCCCACAUCGUCUUCCUCCAGCGACCAAAACUUCGACUCCAGAAUUAUCUUCCUCCAGCAAACACAAGAUAGUUCUGUCGAGCAAAUGGGAAUUGUCUUCCUCCAGCGGCCACAAGAUAGUUCCGUCAAGCAAACGGUCUACAACAAGUAAGUUCCAUCUGCACGAAUUAUAGAUCAUACCUAUUAAUGGAUCAAUAAUGGUUCAAUUAUACUCUAGGCAGUCCUGAUCUAAAACAUUUGCCAUUACCUCCGAAAUACUAUACAAGUCCAGAAUCAUGCUACAACUAUAACAUGUCCAAGUGGGAUUACUUGCUGUGAUAUAGAGAAGCAUAGAUGGUGCAUAAGGUGUUGUCCAUAUUAUAGAUUAUACCUAUUAUUAUAGAUCAGAUCUAUUAAUGGAUCAAUAAUACGUAAUUCAUACUGUAGGUAGUGCUAAUAUAAAAAGGUUUCACAUGUUAGCUCACAAGUUACAUCACGUACAAACAGAUACAGAGAAACAUACAUAGAUGGUUUCCAUAUUUGAUCAACCUCAGAUGUCAUAGUGGGCUUCUGUCGUCAUGGCAUCAGCUCCAUCUGAAACAUAAAUUAAGACGAAUUGUCAAUAAAAUUGUGUUGAUUCAUCUACUUUUAUUUCAUAGUCUUCUACAUAAGGUUAAUGCCAUGGCUGUUAUACUAUAGAAGCUUACAGAAAUAAAUGGGAUUGCUUGCAUGUCAUUAUAUUACUUACUUUACUAAUCAACACUCAGAUGUCAUAGUGGGCUUCUGUCGUCAUGGCAUCAGCUCCAUCUGAAACAUAAAUUAAGACGAAUUGUCAAUAAAAUUGUGUUGAUUCAUCUACUUUUAUUUCAUAGUCUUCUACAUAAGGUUAAUGCCAUGGCUGUUAUACUAUAGAAGCUUACAGAAAUAAAUGGGAUUGCUUGCAUGUCAUUAUAUUACUUACUUUACUAAUCAACAUUCUGUUCUUAUAUUUAAAGGGCCUCAAAGAUUAUGGCAUAUACAACGUUGAAUGCAUUGACUACACGAAACGAGACAUGGACAAUCAAAGUCAAAGUUUUAAGACUUUGGGACGUGAUUAACUUAUCAACUAAUGAGCUCAUUAGCACUGAUAUGAUUUUAUUGGACAAAAAGGUGCAAGUAUUACAUAUAUAAUGUCUCUUCAAUUUAUCCUUUCCAAAGUUUGCUGAUCUUUUCUUUCUAUGUAGGGCCAUGCGAUCCAUGCUUCUAUUGGGAGCAAACUGGUCAAUAAAUUUAAAUCAAAAAUUAAAGAGGACUUCAUAUACAUAAUUAAGACCUUCAAAGUCUCGGAGUAUGAAAAAUACCGACCAUUGAAGAACAAUCUCAAAAUCAGUUUUGUUUAUGAUACAACAGUGAAGGAAGUGGAUGAAGGAAAAUCCAAGUUUUUGGAUCACAACUUCGAUUGGAUUGGAUUGCUUACUGCAAUGAAACCAAUAGAGCAAGUACAAAAAAAUAAAGGGACGGGCAUGGCGCAAACUUCAAACAUCCGUGAGAUUGAAAUCCUUUUACUAGAGUAAGUGAUUAUAUUACUAUAGAUUUUUUAAAAUUGCAUAGAUGAUUUUAUAUCACUUUUUCAUGAUUAAAUCCAUGCAGAGAUGAAACGAUCCGGAUCACGCUAUGGGGGAUAUUUUAGCAAAUACGGUGAAUGAAAGUCUUUUGCACAAACAAAUAAUAGUGAUUGUCACGUCAAAUUUGGUCAGAAAAUUCAGUGUUGAGAACUACAAUCUUUUUGUGAAAACUUAAAUCCAAAUUACUGACAAUUUGUUACCAGGGCUAUCACUACGCACAACAAAUGCAUCUAAAGUCUUCCUCAACCCUGAAAUUCCAGAAGCAGGCCAAAUUAUUGAGAGGUAUGGUAUAUAAUAAUGCAAUUAUGUAUGUCUUUGAAGUUACAAGUUUAUGUGCUUAUGUUGUGACCUAUUAUAGGUAUUGUGAAAGAGAUGUUAUUCCAACAAUGAUUCAAAUCGACGAAAGCACCCAAGGAACGAUUGAAGAGCAAAUGUUGUACAACAGAAAAACAUUGAGGGAAAUUAUAGAACUGCGAUAUGCUGACGUUAAAAGAAAGGUUUCCCUCUAACCUUGAUCAUCAUACUGUACCUUAUUUAUUGUACAUUAUUAUGUAAUAAUCUCAUAUAUUUUCUCUUUAAUAGGAAUUUGUAUGCACAACAAAAGCAACAAUUGAUGAUAUUAUAACAGAUAAAGGCUGGUGGUACAUGGCAUGCAAACUUUGCUUUUGUGCUACAAAAAAGGAACAAGAUAACUAUAUUUGCACUUCCUGUCAUGAAGUAGCUCAAAAUCCAGACAUGCGGUGAGCAUGUUGUGCACUAGAUUGUCUUCGGUUCCAUUUGUUUUAAUAAUAUACCAGUAAUAACUUGACAACAUCAUAUUAGGUACCUACUUAAACUGAAGGUACACGAUGGCACGGCAACAACAACUUUCGUGAUGUUUAAUGAGGUAGCAAAGAGUCUUUUAGGCAACAUAUCUGCAUCGACCCUAUUAGAGCAGGAGGGAUUCAACAACACAAUACCAGAUGUUAUUCAGAACCUUUAUGGCAGAACACUCAUAUUUCGACUGAAGUUAAAUUCAAAGAAUCUAGAAGAGUGUAUGGAAAAUUUUAAAGUGAGCUACACUUUUGAAGUUGAUGAAAAACUUGAGAUGGAAUAUUCAAAUGAAAUGAUUGAAGAGGUAUGCACAUGCACAUUUGAGUAUAACAAGGUGUUCCCAGUAAUUAAUGAUUUUGCUCUCACAAGUGUGCAUUUUUUGUUUUAAAAUGUUAAAAAAUAAUUUUCAUUCUUAUAGGUGAACCACUCCUCCAAGAAUGCAACGACUGAUGAGAAGAAGGAUAUGUGCAGAAAGGAAACCUCAGUAUCAUCCAACAAAAAGCAACAACAGAGGAUACAGAAGUCUAGCAAAAGAUAUGUAAAAGAUGGGAGACCGGUUGCUUCCAGAACAGUUGUUAAAAUUGAAGCUCCUGACGAUGAGGUAACAAAUUGAAAACAUUAUCUCCCUGUAUAUGCAUUGAUAAUUGAUUACAGCCUAUUUAUUUAUGACAUAAAAACGCACAUGAAGAGCUAAAAACGUUUUUGCAGAAGAUAAAAGGAGAGACAAAACAAAAGAGAUGUAAACAGGAUUUUAAAAGAAAGGCUUCGCGAAAUAAAACAAAGGUACUUACAGAAAAAUUCGAUAGUGAGGUAUUCUUUGAAAUUACUUUACUAUUUUAUGACAUCGCCGAAAAAACAGGAAAAUGUAUUUGAAAAGGAGGUAGCAAACAUUCAAGCUACAAGUUCAGAUAUAAUUACCAUAGGAGAUGAUUCAGAUAAAGACCGCACACAAAACAAGACAGAUGUCAGAAGGCCUACCAACAAGAAACUCAGAAGAGUUAUGAACAAAAACAAAUUCAAUAGUGACGUGAAAUGUACAUACUUUUUCUUUCUGUAUUGUUUUCAAGAUAAACACAAAGUACUAUUGUGUUCUAACUCGUGAUAUUUUAUGUAUAGGAGGAGGAGGAAAAUGAUGAACCGCAAGGGAGUAUAAAACAGACUAAAGGAAAACUAUCGGUGAUUACUGUAAUACUUCUAAAUGGGUGUUGGCCUGGACGCUCGGCAGAGUAGAAAUCGUGUACAUCAUCGUCCGAACCACGCCAUUGGUCGCUUCUCCAUCUUCAUUUGCUGUUUUGGACAAGCUUAAUUCAACGACACACACCGCAUGCUGACGCACAAGAUGCCCUGGUAAAGUAUACAUUAUGACCUAAGAGGUUAUGGAUUGGUAAUAGUAGUAUGUAUUAGAGAGAGAGAGAGAGAGAGAGAGAGAGAUGGUGCAUGUUACGUUGGUUUCUAGGGAAACUGUAAGGAACUGAUGUGACUCGACCUAAACAUGUGGGCCAAAAAUAAACCCAUGAAACAACACUUCCACGCUGUCCAGGAUGGCCCAAUUUAAAGGCACGUUGGAUUAGAGUCCAGUAUGUAAACGCAUGUAACAAGAAUACCUUAAGAGAUCGUACAAAACUAGGUUAUAGAAAGAAAGGACAUGCCUAUAUAAACAACUGCCGUGGCACAAAUAGACCUAAAACUCAAUCUCUUCUCAGGAGCACCAACAAAAUCGACAGAACAUACGCUUUCAAUUCAAGGUACGACAACAGUCAAACAACUUCUAAAUUCAGGUAUAGUUCUUCUCCCUCUCUCUUAAUCCUCAGUUACAAUCUUAUUCUAGCGUGAUACUCUACUAUAUUUUGGGGUUGUGUGGCGGCUCCCAUAGGGCUCAAGUCCAUUAAGAAGCACAGGGUACUGCAGGGAAUUCACUUGCAGUUUAUAGAUCAGAUGAGGGUUCCCAUAAUAUUUAGUAUCACUACCUCAUUAAAUUUGUCCAAAAAGAAAACCUCAUUAAUCAGGUAUAGAUUGCUUCGGUCAGCUUGUACCACAAAGAGAUUGGAACAUAAAAUCCUUUUAUCAGUAAAAAUUUCUGCAAAAUCACUGGUCUUGAAAAGUGAUCUCCUUUAAUUAUACGACCACAAAUAUAUUUUAUAAGUUCAUUUAAGGUAAUAAAAAUAUUGAAUCUUCAUAAACUUAUAAAAUUAUUUUAUAACUUGAGUGUUAUUUCAAGUGCCGGGGCAAUGUACUCCCCUGUACAACAAGCACAUUAAUCUUAAUCACCGUCCAUCGGCCACCAGACCACGAUUUGUCUGUAACAAUAUUAUAAUAUCGUUCACUUUGGUUUACAUUUGAAAUCUCCAUUAUGCAGGAACACAACAUGAAAAGAAAAGGUGGGCCACAUAGCAAGGAAUGUGAGAAACCUGCCAAGGUGGUUAAAACAAAUCAAAUAUGCACUCCAACAAGGUGAUCCAUUACUAAUCUUGAAUAUUUUAUAUGUGAAAUCCCACUAAUAUUUUAAAAAACAAAGCAAUUCCAGUUACGCACUCUGAGGUUCCUAAUUGGUUGUAGCUUUCACGAGAAAAACUAUAUUUUAAUUUUUAAUCUUAUUGAUGCAAAUCCAGACAAUCAGCAAAAAUCGCAAGAUUGGAAAGGGUAAUGAAACUUCAAGAGAAUAAAAACAGACGAUCUUCAAUCAUACAUGGAGGUCUGCCAGAUUCCGCGAACAUACACAAAGGACAACCUUUGCUCCACGUGAAGUAAGAAAAUCUUCACGAAGUUUCUCUCUUAUGCAUCUUAUCAUCCAUUUGGUUCAAUUAUAUUUCUCAAUUCAAAUGCUAAACUUUAACAUUAAUGAUGCAUGGCUGGUAUUACAUCAUACAGGAAGCAACUGUUAGAGUUAUAAUAUAAGUCAUGUACCCCUUUGUAUUUAUCCCAUUGUAUAAGGGGUUUCCUGCAUAUGUUCCACACCUGUACAUGUAUAUAUAUCGGCCUAUGGCCUCAUGGGAAUACAGGUUGCAUAUUUCCUAACAUGGUAUUAGAGCCCUAUGGUUUUUUUUCGCACACCGCAACUCGUGCUCUUCUGAUCCCAUCUCUUGCUGCCGCUAUCCUUCGUCGGCCGGCCGUCGUUGUUCCUCUCACCCACACACUCACGUGCUGUGCUCCCUCCCUCUCUCGUCGCUGCUUUUCCGUGCCUCAAACCGCUGCCGCCGUCCAGAUCGCCCCAACCCAUCUCGCUGCAGAUCGACGCCGCUUGGAUUGGGGCGGGCCCCUGCGCCGCCGUCCGCCACUUGCCCGCCUCCGUCGCUGUCCGGCAGCCGUCCUCUCGCCAGCCCGCCGUGUAGCGCGUGCAGGAAGUCAGCCGCCGCUGCGAUCGGUUCGUGGCCUCUUCGUGCGUUGACCUGGACAUCGUUCCUUUGGGCCACGCCUUGGACGAUUUUUGGGCCUGGCUGGCUGUUGGCCUGCUGCCUUGGGCAUCUGCUGUAACUCCUCACGCCACGUCGUUCUGGUGGCUUGGCUAGCUUGUGCUUGUCCACUUGCGGCUGCUGCACCAUCUUCCUCCCGUGCAGGCCCGUGACGUGGUGCAUCAGCCUCCUCCACUUGUUGUCAUCUGAUCUGCUCCGCCGCCGCCUACUGGUCCCGAUCUGAUUUGCUCGGCCGCUCUGUUGGCUGUUUGACUGGUUGCCUUCUGUAAAAAAAAAAAGAAAAAAAAAAGCAUAAUGUUGUCGGUGCUUGGUGCUCGUCCGUAUGUGCUAUCGUCCCCUGUGGCAACUCUCGCACGUGGUGAUUGUCGCUCUACAUCGACUCCUCCUGCGACUUUCAUCGGUGAUUAUCGUUCUACACCGGCUCCUCUCACGGCCCCCAUCGGAUGUGUUGAUGCAUAUGACUCUAUUGACCCGCGUCUUCCUUUGGCGCUUGGGGCUUGUCUGCAUGUGCCCUCGUCUCCUUCACCGGCCUCUACGGAUGAUGUUGGUUAUGCUAUGUCGCCUCCUCUGGCGGCUUCCACAGGUGGUGGUGGGCCUGGUGGCCGCUCCUCUCCCAGUGCUACUGCGUCGUCUACUUCAGCUAUGUACUUCACCGAGCAGGAGAUUGUGGGACUUCGUGGUUUGCUGACCGCCUCCGGCUCUUCAUUGCCGGGUGCAUCUACGUCGACCUCUUCAGUUGAGCUCCUGACUGAGCAGGAGAUUACGCGCCUUCGGUGCUUGCUCGCUGCAUGCUCUGGUUCUUCACCGACGAGUUCUGCUGGUUCUGCUACUGACUCCUCUGGCAUUGUGAGACCACCUUCAACACAGUCAGGUACAUCUCCAUGGAUUCUUGAUACUGGAGCAUCUUUUCAUAUGACUCAUGAUUCAUCCACCUUGUCUUCUAUUCGUGCUCUUGAUUCUCCUAUUCAUGUUCUUACUGCUGAUGGUACCUCCCUCCCGUUCGAGUGCUGAGGCUGAGUUGCGAGCCAUGGCUCUUUUGACGGCAGAGGUGACUUGGUUACGGUGGUUACUUCAGGAUUUUGGUGUUUCUGUCACUACACCGACUCUCUACACUGACUCUGCUCUUAUCUGACAGUACAGGUGCUAUUAGCAUUGCGCGCGAUCCUGUGAAGCAUGAGCUCACCAAGCAUAUUGGUGUUGAUGCUUUCUAUGUGCGCGCUGGUGUGCAGGAUCAGGUUAUUGCUCUUCAGUAUGUGCCUUCCGAGUUACAGUUGGCGGAUUUCCUGACGAAGGCCCAGACUAGAGCACAACAUGGCUUUUAUCUCUCCAAACUCAGUGUUGUUCAUCCACCAUGAGUUUGAGGGGGGGUGUUAAGAGUUAUAAUAUAAGUCAUGUACCUCUUUGUAUUUAUCCCGUUGUAUAAGGGGUUUCCUGCAUAUGUUCCACACCUGUACAUGUAUAUAUAUCGGCCUAUGGCCUCAUGGGAAUACAAGUUGCAUAUUUCCUAACAGCAACAUUAUGUACCUUUCUUAUGCUAUCCACAUCUACUCUGCUAUCUAUGUGCUCAAAUCUUCAAGUGCGGCUAAUUUAGAAUGGUCCACCAAAUCUCAAAAAAAAAAUACACAUAACAAUGAACUAUAGCCAAUGCAAAAAAAAAUGUUAAAUUAACACAAGGAGUAAUAAGUUCAUUCUGCCAGACAAAAAAUAAUCUCUUAAUUCUACUAAUUAGUAUUUAUGUUUAUGCAGGGCAAGUAACUCAAGAGAAAAGGCAAAAGAGGCAAGACGACAUAGGAAAAGAAUAAUGCAAGCCAAGAAGCUUGCACAAAUAUCGACAAAAGAAGGAGAAAUGAUUGGCCAGGCUGGUAAUACUAUGAGGUAACGAACAAGAAAUUACAAUCAGGAUCUAAAAUUUGGAGAUUCGUGAAUCUGAUAAUUUCUGCUAUGUGCGUGUACAACUCAAAAGGUAAUAAAAUAUCUACUACAUCAAAAUCGGUGAGAAAGAAACAAAGACAACAUUUGUAAGUUCUAUCAAGUUUUUAUACUAUCAACAACACCAGACAUUAAUAAUGUUUCAAUUUAUGCUAAAUCCAAAACUUUAACAGGCAAUCAGAGAGGACUGAUAUGGAAAUUUGGAACUUCGGAAAACCCAAAUGCAAGUGUGAAUGAUGCGGUGCAAUUUUCUGGUAUGAAGAAAGAACUUCAGGUAGAGCGAAAAGCAUGCCAUCUUUUGGACUAUGCUGCCAACAUGGCAAGGUUGAGUUGCCACCAUUAAGAGAGCCACCGACUUACCUAGUGAAAUUGCUAAGGAAAGACAACGGAAAGACGUCAAAAAACUGCUUGCAAAAUAUCAGAUUGUACAACUCCAUGUUCGCUUUCACAACAAUGGGAGGAAAAGUAGACAAAGAAAUAAACAAUGGCAGUGGGCCAUAUGUUUUUAGAAUGAAUGGGCAGAACUACCACAGAAUAGGUACUCUAUUGCCUGAAGGUGAAGAUAAACCACGUUGGGCACAACUGUACAUCUAUGAUAAUGAAAAUGAGGUAAGAAACAGGAUUAAUGCUUCGACAAGGGAAGAUAAAAGGGAGUCAAUAGAUCCUCACAUCGUAGAGGGCCUUAAAAAUAUGCUUGAUAGAGAUAACAUACUUGCAAAAACUUUCAGAAUGGCAAGGGACAGAUUCGAAGAAGGUGACUAUCAAAACGUGAGAUUAAAAGUAAUCAAUAAGCGACGCUCAGAUGGAAGACGAAGUGACAUGCCAUCUGCAAGUGAAGUUGCAGCCUUGAUUGUCAAUGAUGCCACGGAAAGUAGAAAAGGACGGGAUAUCAUUGUUGAGUACAAAAACAUGAAGCCAAGAAGAAUAUCAGAGAACCAUCCAAAAUUCAUGGCUAUGCAGUAUCCACUAUUGUUCCCAUAUGGAGAAGAUGGGUACAGACAAAAUAUACCUUACAUAUUAAAACAAGGUGCAAAAUGUAAGAGAAAGCAUGUAACAAUGUUGGAAUACUAUGCAUAUCGUCUACAACAACGUACUAACCAAUCGAUGCACUUGCUGGUGUGUGAAAAGCUUACAUUGCAGUUCAUUGUGGAUGCCCUUGCAUGCAUUUUGCAGUAGACUGGACUGGGUAAAAAAUAAUCAAGGAAACCUACGAACGGAAUUAUAUGCUGGCUUACAGGAUGCAAUAGAAAGAGGAGAUACAAGGGCUGACCAAGUAGGAAAAAGGAUACUGCUGCCAUCCACAGUCACAGAUAGCCCUAGAAGCACAAAACUUCCAAGAUGCUAUGGCAAUAUGUCGGUGGGCUGGAUACCCAGACCUAUUUGUGACAUUCACGUGCAACGCAGCAUGGCCGGAGAUUGAGGCUAUGCUACACAAAGUAGCCCAAACAGCAUACGAAAGGCCUGAUAUUGUUGAUCGAGUAUUCCACAUAAAACUCAAGGAGUUCAUGAGAGAUAUAAGAGAAAGGGAAUACUUCGGAAAAACACUCACAAGUAAUAUAUCAUACUGACUUUAUCAAACAUCUUAUUUAAUUGCCUGAACUAACUGUUAUUUUAUAAAAUUGCAGUUAUAUACACAAUAGAGUUUCAAAAAAGGGGCCUCCCACAUGCCCACAUAGUCAUAUUCCUCGACAAAAAGGAAAAGAAACACAAGUAUCCAGAGCCAUCAGAGGUAGAUAGAGUAACUUGCGCAGAGAUACCAGACAAGGAAAUUGACCCAGAAGGAUAUGCAGCUGUGGAAAACUACAUGAUGCACGGGCCAUGUGGUGCAGCAAACACAAAGUCACCAUGCAUGGUCGACAACAGAUGCAUAAGAAAGUUCCCCAAAAAAUACAACAACAAUACCACUGUCGAUGAAGAUGGAUACCCAGUAUAUAGAAGACGAGACGAUGGAAGAUUCAUACAGAAAGGGGGAAUAAAGUUGGAUAACAGAUACGUAGUCCCAUACAACAGAAAUCUGCUGGUGAAAUAUCAAGCACAUAUAAAUGUCGAGGUGUGCAACAGAUCUUUAUCCAUAAAAUACCUUUUUAAAUACAUAAAUAAAGGUGAUGACCAAGCAACAGCACUAAUAGAAAACGAUGAGAUAAAAAGGUACCUAGAAUGCACAUAUAUAACAGGGAAUGAUGCGUGUUGGAGAACAUUCCAAUUCAAAAUGCACUUCAGAGAUCCCUGCGUCGAAAGGUUGCCUUUCCACCUGGAAAAUGAGCAACAAGUAAUUUUCUCAGAUUCUACAGAUUUAACCAAGAUAGUCAGGAAAGAAAGAGUAGGAAUCACUAAAUUUACACAGUGGAUGGAGACAAACAAGAUGUGUGAAGAAGCCAGAGAAUUAACAUAUGCAGAAUUCCCAUCAAAAUGGGUGUGGAAAAAGAAAGAGACAAAGUGGAGCAAAAGGAAGAAAGGAAGAUCGGUUGGAAGUGUUAGAGUUAUAAUAUAAGUCAUGUAUACCCCUUUGUAUUUAUCCCUAGUAUAAGGGGUUUCCUGCAUAUGUACCACACCUGUACAUGUAUAUAUAUCGGCCUAUGGCCUCAUGGGAAUACAAGUUGCUUAUUCCUAACAUGGUAUUAGAGCUUUAGGUCUCUUUUUCGCACGCGCAACUCGUGCUACGAUCCCAUCCCCUCCGCCGCCGCGGUUUAUCUUCGCCUUGGCGUCGCUGCUGUGCCCCUCCAGCCGCCGUCGUCCGUCCCUCCCGUGGUCGUCCGCUCCUCCCGUGGUCGUCCGCCCCUCCCGGAGCCUCCUGCCCGGACUCGUACGCCCCUCACGCCAGGCGCCGUCGUCUGCCCCUCCCGCCAGGACUCGCCAGGCGCCGUCGUCCGCCCCUCCCGCCCGGACUCGUGCGCCCCUCACGCCAGGCGCCGUCGUCCUCCCCUCCCGCCUGGAUUCUUUUGACGGCAGAGGCGCUCGUGCAGCAGGGCCUCUGGCCGCCGUUCGCUCGUGGUCCUCUGGCCAGGUCCCUCUCCUCCCGAUCGUCUACUGCUGUCGUCUAAGGUCUGCUGCGCCGGAUCUCGCUCCCAGCCGUCGUCCUCGUCCGGCCUCUGCUAUUUUCGGAUCUUUGCAAAAAAAAAAAACAUGUCUGCUUCAUCAGGCUACGUUGCUGUCCCUCGCUGUCCGGUGAUCUUCGAUGGUACCAACUACACCGAGUUCGCUGGCUUCAUGCGCAUUCACAUGCGUGGCAUUCGUCUCUGGGAUGUUCUUUCUGGCGAGGUCUGCUGUCCGCCACGUCCGGUCCCUCCGGUGGCCCCUACUCCGCCGACUUCACUGGUUCUUCCUCCGGACGCUACUCAGGCCGCCAAGGAUGCGGCUAAGAUUGCUGAUGAGGCUGCUGAUCGUGCCUAUGAUGAGAGGGCUUUGGCUUAUGAGGAGGCUCUUCAGACGUAUCAUGGUGCUUUGUCUGUUUACACCCAGUGGCUUGAUGAUGAUGCUCGUGCUGCAGCUGUUCUCACUGCUAGUGUUCUGCCUCAGUUUUCUUCUGAGUUUCUGGGUCUUCCUACUGUCUUCCAGAUGUGGACCUGUCUUCGUCAGCGCUAUGAGCCCUCUGGUGAUGCCUUAUACCUUUCUGUGGUUCGUCAGGAGCAUGCUCUUCAGCAGGAUGACUCUACUGUUGAUGACUUUUAUGCACAGAGUUCUGCUAUCUGGCGCCAGCUUGAUUCUCUCCGCAGUGCUGGUUGUCGUACUUGCCCCUGCUGCCAGGCUGUCCAGGCCGAUUUGGAGUUUCAUCGCGUCUACGAGUUCCUGUCUCGGCUCCGUAAGGAGUUUGAGCCCCGGCGUGCUCAGUUGCUUGCUCGUGGCCGUAUUUCUCUCAUGGAGGCGCUUUCCGAGAUUCGUGCUGAGGAGACUCGCCUACGUGGUGCUGGUUUGCUGGAGGUUCCCUCUGUGCUCGCUACUCGGGUUUCUUCCACUCCGCCGGCUGCACCGCCCCAUUCUCGCUCGAGUGCUCCGCCGCUCUUGCCCACUCCUUCUGGAGGCUCAGGUCGGCCCCGUUCACAUUGUGACUACUGCAACAAUGAUGGUCAUAUUGAGUCCCAGUGCUACACAAAGCGGAAACACCUGCGCAAGGCGCGAUCAUCCUCCUCAGGGACUUCGUCAUCUCCCUCGCCAGCUUCAGCCAUUGCUUUGACCGAGCAGGAUAUUCUGAGACUUAAGCGUCUGCUCGCGGCUUCAGGUUCUUCCUCGACGGGUACUGCUGGUUCUGUGACUGAUGCUUCCCGCACUGAGCACCCGCCCUCUACACAGUCAGGUACAUCCCCAUGGGUUCUGGAUUCUGGAGCUUCUUUUCAUAUGUCUUCUCAUUCUUCCGCUUUGUCUUCUCUUCGUUCGCUGGAUUCUCCUGUUCAUGUCUUCACUGCUGAUGGUACUCCACUUUCUGUUGCUAGUAGAGGCCAUCUUUCUACUCCUUAUUCUGUUCCUGAUGUUGCUCAUGUUCCACGACUUACCAUGAAUCUGUUUUCUGCCGGUCAACUUACUGAUUCUGGUUGUCGUGUCAUCCUUGAUGUUGACUCUUGUUCUGUCCAGGAUCGUCGCACGCACACUCUGGUUGGGGCUGGCCCUCGCCGCCGUGAUUCUCAGGGUCUUUGGGAGUUGGACUGGCUUCAUGUUCCUUCCGCUGCCACCACCAUGCCAGUCCCUCCGCUGCUGUCGCCUCUAUUACUGGGUCCUUCAAGCAGUGGCAUCAUCGACUUGGUCAUCUGUGUGGUUCUCGGUUAUCGUCUUUAGUUCGUCGAGGUCUUCUGGGGUCUGUCUCAGGAGAUGUUUCUUUAGAGUGUCAGGGUUGUCGUCUUGGCAAGCAGAUUUAGUUACCAUAUUCCCAUAGUGAGUCAGUGUCUAAGCGUCCUUUCGAUUUAGUCCAUUCUGAUGUAUGGGGUCCGGCUCCUUUCGCUUCGAAAGUUGGCCAUAAAUACUAUAUUAUUUUCAUCGAUGAUUUUUCUCAUUACACAUGGCUUUAUUUCAUGACUUCACGUAGUGAGGUGUUGUCUAUUUAUAAGCGUUUUGCUGCCAUGGUUCAUACUCAGUUCUCUUCCCCCAUUCGUGUUUUUCGUGCUGACUCCGCUGGUGAGUAUAUCUCUAAGAUGUUGCGUGGUGUCCUUGCUGAGCAGGGUACUCUUGCCCAGUUCUCUUGUCCUGGUGCUCAUGCUCAGAAUGGCGUGUCUGAGCGCAAGCAUCGUCACCUUCUUGAGACGGCUCGUGCUAUGAUGAUCGCCGCCUCUCUUCCGCCUCAUUUUUGGGCCGAGGCUAUCUCCACUUCCGUCUAUCUCAUCAACCUUCAGCCAUCUGCUGCUUUGCAGGGUGGUGUUCCUUUUGAGCGUCUGUUUGAUCGUUCUCCCGAUUAUUCGAUGCUUCGCUUGUUUGGUUGUGUUUGCUAUGUUCUUCUUGCCCCUCGCGAACGCACCAAACUGACUGCUCAGUCUGUUGAGUGUGUCUUCUUAGGCUACAGUGAUGAGCAUAAGGGCUAUCGUUGUUGGGAUCCUGUCGGUCGUCGGAUGCGUAUCUCUCGAGACGUGACUUUUGAUGAGUCUCGUCCUUUUUACCCACGCCCAUCUUCCUCGGUCUUUUCCGUGGAGGAUAUCUUUUCUCACUUUUCCUGACUCCCCUAUCACUCCCGUCGCGCCUGUGCCUAUUCGUCCCACUCCCUCUGCUUCUUCACCCCUCGUCGAUUCACCGCCACCAUCUUCCCCGGUCUCCUCACCUAGCAUGUCACCGGAUUCUACACCUUCAUCUCCGGUGACUUCUUCGUCGCCACCCCCUGAUUCUACCUUGGCGAUUCCUCCUUCUCUUGUUCCAUCUCUUCCUCAGCAUUACACUCGUCGUUCACGGCCUGUGGAUGCUUCCUUGGAUGAGUCGUCCUCUUCCUCUCAGCCUACUUAUGGCUUGCGUUCUCGUCCUCGUCCGCCUAUUGAUCGCUUUGGAUUUCCCACCGCUGGUGCUGCUGUUCUUGAGCCGACUUCUUACCGUCAGGCUGUUGUUCAUCCUGAAUGGCAGUUUGCGAUGGCAGAGGAGAUUGCUGCUCUUGAACGCACUGGUACCUGGGAUCUUGUUUCUCUUCCUCCCGGAGUCCGUCCCAUCACUUGUAAGUGGGUCUACAAGGUUAAGACUCGCUCCGAUGGUUCUCUUGAGCGUCACAAAGCUCGUCUCGUGGCUCGUGGUUUUCAGCAGGAGCAUGGUCGUGAUUAUGACGAGACUUUUGCUCCUGUGGCCCAUAUGACCACUAUUCGUACACUUCUUGCUGUUGCCUCUGCACGCCACUGGUCUAUAUCUCAGCUUGAUGUUAAGAAUGUCUUUCUUAAUGGUGAGCUGCGUGAGGAGGUGUACAUGCAGCCACCACCUGGGUAUUCUGUUCCUGAUGGCAUGGUGUGUCGUCUUCGUCGCUCUCUCUAUGGCCUUAAGCAAGCCCCUCGUGCCUGGUUUGAGCGUUUUGCUUCUGUGGUCACUACUGCUGGUUUUUCAGCAAGUGCUCAUGAUCCCGCAUUGUUUAUUCACCUUUCUCCUCGUGGCCGGACUCUUCUUCUUCUCUAUGUUGAUGAUAUGGUCAUCACUGGGGAUGACCCCGAGUAUAUUGCCUUUGUAAAGGCUCGUCUUAGUGAGCAGUUUCUUAUGUCUGAUCUUGGACCUCUUCGCUACUUUCUUGGGAUUGAAGUCUCUUCUACCUCUGAUGGCUUUUUUAUAUCCCAGGAAAAGUAUAUCCAGGAUCUUCUUGCUCGUGCUGCUCUUUCCGACGAGCGCACUGUUGAGACUCCUAUGGAGCUCAAUGUUCACCUCCGUGCUACUGAUGGUGAUCCUCUCCCUGACCCGACGCGUUAUCGUCAUCUCGUUGGCAGUCUAGUCUAUCUAGCUGUCACUCGUCCGGACAUCUCUUAUCCGGUUCAUAUUCUGAGUCAGUUUGUCUCUGCUCCCACAUCGGUUCAUUAUAGUCAUCUCCUUCGUGUUCUCCGAUAUCUUCGGGGCACGAUCUCUCAUCGUCUCUUCUUUCCUAGCUCCAGCUCUUUACAGCUUCAGGCCUAUGCGGAUGCUACGUGGGCUAGUGAUCCUUUUGAUCGCCGUUCGCUUUCUGCUUACUGUGUUUUUCUUGGCGGAUCUCUCAUUGCCUGGAAGACGAAGAAACAGAUUGCAGUUUCCCGUUCGAGUGCUGAGGCUGAGUUGCGAGCUAUGGCUCUUUUGACGGCAGAGGUGACUUGGUUACGGUGGUUACUUCAGGAUUUUGGUGUUUCUGUCACUACACCGACUAUGCUCUUAUCUGACAGUACAGGUGCUAUUAGCAUUGCGCGCGAUCCUGUGAAGCAUGAGCUCACCAAGCAUAUUGGUGUUGAUGCUUUCUAUGUGCGCGCUGGUGUGCAGGAUCAGGUUAUUGCUCUUCAGUAUGUGCCUUCCGAGUUACAGUUGGCGGAUUUCCUGACGAAGGCCCAGACUAGAGCACAACAUGGCUUUUAUCUCUCCAAACUCAGUGUUGUUCCUCCACCAUGAGUUUGAGGGGGGGUGUUAGAGUUAUAAUAUAAGUCAUGUAUACCCCUUUGUAUUUAUCCCGUAGUAUAAGGGGUUUCCUGCAUAUGUACCACACCUGUACAUGUAUAUAUAUCGGCCUAUGGCCUCAUGGGAAUACAAGUUGCUUAUUCCUAACAGGAAGGAUAUAUUAUGCCCAUCCAGCAAGUGGACAAAAAUACUAUAUGCGAAUGCUACUUAACGUCAAGAAAGGAUGCACAUGUUUUGAAGACAUAAGAACAGUUAAUGGAGUUGUCCACGCAUCAUACAAAUCUGCUUGUGAAGCACUAGGAUUUCUUGAUGAUGACAAAGAGUGGCUUGAGUGCAUCAAGGAGGCAUCAAAUUGGGCGACUGGCAACCAGCUAAGGUAGCUAUUCACAACAAUUUUAAGCCACUGCGAAGUCACAAGCCCAAAAAAACUGUGGGAAUCAUGCUCGGAGGUAUUAAGCGAAGACAUGGAGUACAAACAGAGAAAAUUAUUGAACUAUCCUACACUAUGCCUCACAGCAUCACAGAAGCAAGGACACGCCUUGGUGGAAAUAGAGAAGCUCAUGAGACAAGCUGGAAGAACACUUAAGGAAUACCCCAGAAUAGAACUUCCAAAUUCUUCGGAAAUAAAGGAACUUGGAAACAAGCUACUAAAUGAAGAAAUUAAUUACGACAAAGAGCAGCAAAGAGAAGAGCAUUUGAAGAUCUUUGGUAGUCUCAACUAUGAACAACGUCUUGCAUUUGACACAAUAAUGGAAUCUGUUGACAAUGAUUUUGGAAAACAAAUUUUUGUGGACGGAUAUGGUGGGACAGGUAAGACAUACCUAUGGAAGGCGAUCACAACAAAGUUGCAUUCUGAAGGGAAGAUAGUACUAGCAGUUGCAUCAUCUGGUAUUGCAGCACUGCUUCUAGAAGGAGGGAGAACAACACACUCGAGGUUCCACAUUCCACUAAUCCUUACAGAAGAGUCAACAUGUGACAUCAAACAGGGUUCACACUUGGCACAACUACUAAAAAAGACGUCGCUAAUACUAUGGGAUGAAGCUCCAAUGGCAAACAAGAUAUGUUUUGAGGCGCUAGAUAGGACUCUAAGGGAUAUAUUAAGACAUAAGAGUGAGAACAGCAGCGACAGGCCAUUCGGUGGCAUGACAAUGGUUCUAGGAGGGGACUUCCGCCAGAUCCUUCCUGUUAUACCAAAGGGAAGAAGACACAACAUAGUCACUGCAUCCAUUAAAAUAUCUUACCUUUGGAAGAACUUUCAGGUAAUGAAGCUAACAAAGAACAUGCGGCUGAACUGCACAACAAAUGAUGAAUCCGAGAAACAAAAGAUAGCAGAAUUUGCAGAGUGGAUUCUCAAUAUCGGCGAUGGAAAAAAUACAUCAUCAGAAGGUGAGGAAUUGAUAAAAAUACCAAAUGACAUACUUCUCAAGAAAGGAAAUGAUCCCAAAAAUACAGUUGUGGAGAGCAUAUAUCCCAAUUUGCAGGAGAGGUAUCGCCAACGAGAAUACUUAGAAGAAAGAGCAAUAUUAUGUCCAAGAAAUGAAACAGUUCACGAUAUAAAUGAGUAUAUAAUGGAUCAGAUACAAGGUGAAGAGAAAACUUAUCUAAGCUGUGACACAGUAUGCAAAGCAACUACCUUCAAUGCAGAAACAGAAUUAUUAUAUCCAACGGAAUUCCUGAAUAGCUUACCAUUUCCUGGAAUCCCAAAUCACGAGCUGAAAUUAAAAGUCGGCAUACCUGUGAUGCUACUACGUAAUAUCAACCAAAGUGCUGGUUAUGCAAUGGUACAAGGAUGACGAUUACUCAGCUUGGAAGAAGAUUCAUUGAAGCACAGAUAAUAACUGGAACCCAUGUGGGAGAAAAGGUAUAUGUUCCAAGAAUAGUGAUGUAACCAACUGAAUCAGCGUGGCCAUUUGUUCUAAAAAGGCGACAAUAUCCUAUAUCAGUUUGCUUUGCUAUGACUAUCAACAAGAGCCAGGGACAAUCUCUAAAUAGAGUAGGACUAUAUCUGCCUAAACAAGUUUUCACACAUGGACAGUUAUACGUAGCCUUCUCAAGAGUAACAAAAAGGGAGGGACUGCGGGUAAUGGUAGAUGAUGAAGAUAGCAAUGAGGAUGAUGUGGUCAAGAACAUAGUCUAUACAGAGAUAUUCUGAAGGUAUGAACAAAUAACAGAAUUUCAGCAUGAUGUUUCUUUAACUAGAUGAGGCAUUACUAUUACGUAAGAAUUACAUAUAUAGGAACUUACUACACUGCAAAAUCUAUUACAAAUAGAGUCUGACUUAACUAUGCUAACAUGAUAUGGCAGGUCAAAUAUGGUCUACUACACUGCCAAAGUAAUGCAAACAUGCAUCAACAGGUGGAAAUACUACAUUACUACCAAACAUCAAAGAUCUAUAUUAUGUAAUACUUGAUUCUAUAAGCUUAUUAUAUUUCAUAAAAACAAAUAGAAAAAGCAUCGGGACGUUGUAAUAUUGCAUAUGUACAAUGCUAUCAGACCUGUUUUCAUAUUCAGCUAUUAUCUAUUAAUUUUUGUACGCGUCGAAACGGUUCAUUACUACCAAACAAUGACAAAAUAUAUUAUCUAAAGUUUUAUUGUACGAGCUUAAUAUUUCAUGCAAACCAAUAGUGAAAGCAUGGGAAAAUUAUUAUAAUUCGUAUUAAUAUGCAAUCAGACUGGUUUCCAUAUUAAAUACAGUAUACUCUGGGAAAUAUUUCAACUAUAGCCAAUCAAAACUCUACAAAUUCUUUGAUAAGUGUGUUCAAUAUUAGCAGGGGUAGGGGGGUCUAACACUGCCAAUGCCGGUCCCAAGCCCGGAAAAAAGUGGAGGGGGCCAAAAACAAACUAACACUACACCUCACAUAUUGAAUGUAAUAACGUCUUAUAUUAUGGGAGAGAGGGAGUAUUUCGCAUUCACAAAAUACUAUCAUCAACCAAAAAAAAGAACAGCCAGUAUACAUGAUCAUGCAAUGAAUAUAUAUAGUACUAAUUUCCACUGGUGUGUCUACCCAAAUAUAUAAUUACAUUACUUAAUUUCUAUUUUUUGGCGGGAUACUUACAUUACAUAUUACUAUCUACACUGUACCAAAUUAAACACUUGAAGAUCACUUAAAAGAGAAAACUAUGCUAACGUGAUACAAGCAACUGUUGGUACCGCUGAGCAAAUGUAUUUUUUUUUACCAAUGAAAACGUGAGUUUUAUUCCACUGAAAUAGGAUUACAGUCGCUAAGACAAAUUCCGAAGCAGAGUUUGCUACAGAUCGCACCCAACGAGUAGUGCUACCCCAGAAUGGCCAAAAUUAGAAAACCAUAUUUUCAUUGAGCCCACGUAUCUUAAUUUAAGUAAAUCAAACGCUUGGGGAAGAAAACAACACUACCAUCCUCAUACUAAAGCUAGAUCCAAGAAAAUUGCAGACCUGCGGGAGAUGAAAUCCAUGACCGAAUCAGUUGCACAGAAGACAACAUCAACGGCACUGUGCAGAUCAACAAUCUCGCCUACUCCCUGUCGCAACAGAUCCUUGGGACAUGAUACCCCUCCGCCGCCAUUUACCAACCUACAGCAGGUGUAUGAGGAGGAAAACUAGCCGCCGUCGAUGGUCUCCCUGUGGAAGCACCAGGUGCGGGGGUGGACUCAGGUUA